CUACGGGAGGCUGCAGUGAGGAAUAUUGCACAAUGGGGGGAACCCUGAUGCAGCAACGCCGCGUGGAGGAUGACGCAUUUCGGUGUGUAAACUCCUUUUAUAUGUCAAGAAAAUGACGGUAGCAUAUGAAUAAGCACCGGCUAACUCCGUGCCAGCAGCCGCGGUAAUACGGAGGGUGCAAGCGUUACUCGGAAUCAUUGGGCGUAAAGGACGCGUAGGCGGGUUGGAAAGUCAGGUGUGAAAUCCUACAGCUUAACUGUAGAACUGCACUUGAAACUUCUAAUCUAGAGUAUGGGAGGGGGAGAUGGAAUUAGUGGUGUAGGGGUAAAAUCCGUAGAUAUCACUAGGAAUACCUAAAGCGAAGGCGAUCUCCUGGAACAUUACUGACGCUAAGGCGUGAAAGCGUGGGGAGCAAACAGGAUUAGAUACCCUUGUAGUC
rnacentral:rRNA from 1 species